rnacentral:rRNA from 1 species
GAUGAACGCUGGCGGCGUGCUUAACACAUGCAAGUCGAACGAAGCACUUUAUUUGAUUUCCUUCGGGACUGAUUAUUUUGUGACUGAGUGGCGGACGGGUGAGUAACGCGUGGGUAACCUGCCUUGUACAGGGGGAUAACAGUUGGAAACGGCUGCUAAUACCGCAUAAGCGCACAGCAUCGCAUGAUGCAGUGGGAAAAACUCCGGUGGUAUAAGAUGGACCCGCGUUGGUUUAGCUAGUUGGUGAGGUAACGGCCCACCAAGGCGACGAUCCAUAGCCGACCUGAGAGGGUGACCGGCCACAUUGGGACUGAGACACGGCCCAAACUCCUACGGGAGGCAGCAGUGGGGAAUAUUGCACAAUGGGCGAAAGCCUGAUGCAGCGACGCCGCGUGAGCGAAGAAGUAUUUCGGUAUGUAAAGCUCUAUCAGCAGGGAAGAUAAUGACGGUACCUGACUAAGAAGCACCGGCUAAAUACGUG